rnacentral:rRNA from 1 species
UACGUAGGGGGCAAGCGUUAUCCGGAUUUACUGGGUGUAAAGGGGGCGCAGACGGCCAUGGCAAGCCCGGUGUGAAAGGCAGGGGCAUAACCCCUGGACUGCACUGGGAACUGUCAGGCUGGAGUGCCGGAGGGGUAAGCGGAAUUCCUGGUGUAGCGGUGAAAUGCGUAGAUAUCAGGAGGAACACCGGCGGCGAAGGCGGCUUACCAAGCUACUUCUGACGUUGAGGCACGAAAGCGUGGGGAGCAAACAGG